rnacentral:rRNA from 1 species
CAAGGAAUUUUCGUCAAUGGGGGGAACCCUGAACGAGCAACGCCGCGUGGGCGAAGAAGUCCCUCGGGAUGUAAAGCCCUUUUCCCUGUGAAGAAAGAAAGACGGUAACAGGGGAAUAAGCAUCGGCUAACUACGUGCCAGCAGCCGCGGUAAUACGUAGGGUGCGAGCGUUGUCCGGAAUCAUUGGGCGUAAAGGGCGCGUAGGUGGCCCGGUCAGUCUUUGGUGAAAGCGCGGGGCUCAACCCUGCGUCGGCCAGGGAUACUGCCGCGGCUGGAGCACUGUAGAGGCAGGCGGAAUUCCGGGUGUAGCGGUGGAAUGCGUAGAGAUCCGGAAGAACACCGGUGGCGAAGGCGGCCUGCUGGGCAGUUGCUGACACUGAGGCGCGACAGCGUGGGGAGCAAACAGGAUUAGAUACC